UUUCAGAUGUGUUGGAAAUGUCUGCCUUCCAAGAACGUUUGCUGAGUUCACGUUAUAGCACUGGCAUGCGAUUGGACAAUGCAGAGGGCCAAAUGGGAGCGUGCUUGGCAGAUGCCUUAGUAACAAAUGUGGCAUGAACCGAAGCACCGAACAAGCCACUGGUGGUGCCAGGGGGAAGGGUGCGGUCAAUGUCACGGGAGGCUACGAGGCAGCAAGAAGAUCCUCAACAAAUACAGCCCCUCAGUCUUGGAUCCCAAAACCUCCAGAAUCUGAAGCCAAAUAACAUUUCAGUUAUUAUAAAUUAUGAUUCUGUGGUAUUUUGUUAUGGAAGCUUAAGAUGACCUGAACUUAUUACAUUAAAAAUUAAUGUUUUUC